GAUGAACGCUAGCGGCAGGCUUAAUACAUGCAAGUCGUGGGGCAGCAUGGGGUAGCAAUACUCUGAUGGCGACCGGCAAACGGGUGCGGAACACGUACGCAACCUUCCUUUAACUGGAGA
rnacentral:rRNA from 1 species